rnacentral:rRNA from 1 species
AGUGAACGCUGGCGGUAGGCCUAACACAUGCAAGUCGAACGGCAGCACAGUAAGAGCUUGCUCUUACGGGUGGCGAGUGGCGGACGGGUGAGGAAUACAUCGGAAUCUACUUUUUCGUGGGGGAUAACGUAGGGAAACUUACGCUAAUACCGCAUACGACCUACGGGUGAAAGCAGGGGAUCUUCGGACCUUGCGCGAAUGAAUGAGCCGAUGUCGGAUUAGCUAGUUGGCGGGGUAAAGGCCCACCAAGGCGACGAUCCGUAGCUGGUCUGAGAGGAUGAUCAGCCACACUGGAACUGAGACACGGUCCAGAGUCCUACGGGAGGCAGCAGUGGGGAAUAUUGGACAAUGGGCGCAAGCCUGAUCCAGCCGUACCGCGUGGGUGAAGAAGGCCUUCGGGUUGUAAAGCCCUUUUGUUGGGAAAGAAAAGCAGCAGGUUAAUACCCCGCUGUUCUGACGGUACCCAAAGAAUAAGCACCGGCUAACUUCGUG